rnacentral:rRNA from 1 species
GAUGAACGCUGGCGGCGUGCCUAAUACAUGCAAGUCGAGCGAACGGACGAGAAGCUUGCUUCUCUGAUGUUAGCGGCGGACGGGUGAGUAACACGUGGAUAACCUACCUAUAAGACUGGGAUAACUUCGGGAAACCGGAGCUAAUACCGGAUAAUAUUUUGAACCGCAUGGUUCAAAAGUGAAAGACGGUCUUGCUGUCACUUAUAGAUGGAUCCGCGCUGCAUUAGCUAGUUGGUAAGGUAACGGCUUACCAAGGCAACGAUGCAUAGCCGACCUGAGAGGGUGAUCGGCCACACUGGAACUGAGACACGGUCCAGACUCCUACGGGAGGCAGCAGUAGGGAAUCUUCCGCAAUGGGCGAAAGCCUGACGGAGCAACGCCGCGUGAGUGAUGAAGGUCUUCGGAUCGUAAAACUCUGUUAUUAGGGAAGAACAUAUGUGUAAGUAACUGUGCACAUCUUGACGGUACCUAAUCAGAAAGCCACGGCUAACUACGUGCCAGCAGCCGCGGUAAUACGUAGGUGGCAAGCGUUAUCCGGAAUUAUUGGGCGUAAAGCGCGCGUAGGCGGUUUUUUAAGUCUGAUGUGAAAGCCCACGGCUCAACCGUGGAGGGUCAUUGGAAACUGGAAAACUUGAGUGCAGAAGAGGAAAGUGGAAUUCCAUGUGUAGCGGUGAAAUGCGCAGAGAUAUGGAGGAACACCAGUGGCGAAGGCGACUUUCUGGUCUGUAACUGACGCUGAUGUGCGAAAGCGUGGGGAUCAAACAGGAUUAGAUACCCUGGUAGUCCACGCCGUAAACGAUGAGUGCUAAGUGUUAGGGGGUUUCCGCCCCUUAGUGCUGCAGCUAACACAUUAAGCACUCCGCCUGGGGAGUACGACCGCAAGGUUGAAACUCAAAGGAAUUGACGGGGACCCGCACAAGCGGUGGAGCAUGUGGUUUAAUUCGAAGCAACGCGAAGAACCUUACCAAAUCUUGACAUCCUUUGACAACUCUAGAGAUAGAGCCUUCCCCUUCGGGGGACAAAGUGACAGGUGGUGCAUGGUUGUCGUCAGCUCGUGUCGUGAGAUGUUGGGUUAAGUCCCGCAACGAGCGCAACCCUUAAGCUUAGUUGCCAUCAUUAAGUUGGGCACUCUAAGUUGACUGCCGGUGACAAACCGGAGGAAGGUGGGGAUGACGUCAAAUCAUCAUGCCCCUUAUGAUUUGGGCUACACACGUGCUACAAUGGACAAUACAAAGGGCAGCGAAACCGCGAGGUCAAGCAAAUCCCAUAAAGUUGUUCUCAGCUCGGAUUGUAGUCUGCAACUCGACUACAUGAAGCUGGAAUCGCUAGUAAUCGUAGAUCAGCAUGCUACGGUGAAUACGUUCCCGGGUCU